GGGGAGCCCGAGGAAGCUGUGAGAUGCUAACCCCACCAUGACAGGCUCCCAGUGGCUGUCACUCCAGUCCAGCACUGUGCUCAGCCUGCACAUAGCUAUCCACAUGCUUGGGUCCCCUUCUCCCACGAUGAGGUGACCAGGGCUGACAGUCAACCCUGGAUCUAAGCGGCUGGGAGUUCUGGGGUGGGAGAAAUGGGAUCUUUGGGGAGCUCUGCAGAACCUCAAGGCACCAGAUUCAACAAAGAAGGGGGAGCCCUGGCCGCCACCCAGGGUCCCUGCAAGCAGGAGGAGUUGUCCUAAUUUUGUUCUGGCAACGAAAUAAUUAACAAAUGCAGCAUGAAGGCAGGGCCAGACUGAACUGAAGGACAGACAGUCAAACAGAAUGUCUGGAACAUGAUCAUUUACAGGAUGAUCACUACUGGCCAAUAGGCAGGAGCUGCCAACACCACCCCUGCCACCCCCUCGUGCCCCCGCAGCCUCUCCAGAGACGCUUCAGAGACCCUCAGGCUCCUUGGCCGGGCGUGGAGCAUGUCUCCCAGGGGCACUAGAUGAAGGAGAAUGUGCUGCAGAUGUGACAAAUGCCGGCUACGUUUCAUGGGGUCAUCCUUGCCUGGCCGUGGAAAGCGAGAAGAGAAACACCCGCGAUCCUGUAAGUGCCCUGCUCCUGGCUUUCCAGGCCUACGUACCCUCCUCUACAACCUGGCAAACCUAAAGCAAAUAUGUGUUUUUGUUUUAAAUGUGGGCGGGCCAGGAAAAACAGAAUUUCUCCUGAUGGUAGGUGGACCAGGGGAGCCCAAAGAGAAUGGCAGUGACCAGGGAGGACAGAGAGGCCAGCCUGGACCAGGAGAUGCUGGGGGAGCUGGCAGGAAGACCAGGCUCCCCAGCCCCAAUGCAGCCACGCCAGGGAUAAGUGGAGCCCUCCUGGAUGAGCAGGGAAGAGGCAAUCUUCUCAUAACCACCCAGGUGGAGACACCGGCUCCGCUGUCCCCAGCCCAGCACGAAGGGAUGGAUGGAGCCCUCUGCACAGAGGCUUCUGUUGCCAAACCUUUGAUGGAAUAGGACGCGCUGCUUCAGGUUGUACCACAGACAGUGUCUUAAUUGAGUGAGCCUCGUAGCGGUGCAGGGCCUGAGAGGCGGCAUCGGC
rnacentral:lncRNA from 1 species